GCACCAGCAGAUUGGCCCCGGACUGGAGAAAAAACAAGAAAAAAUGAACUGUCCGAUACCUUCCCACCUACAAAUAAGGGUGAACUCUCUUACAGAGACUAAACCGGGAUGAACCAGGGACGGGUAACGUAACUAACACCACAAUGUUAUUACCUGAUGCAUAUAUAGUGAAUGAUAAAUGUCCAGGUAUUAAACUCAGUAAAGGCAAAGGAAGGGGCCUAAGGAGAGGAUGUUGGACCGGAGCCUUCAAAACAUGCAGGCAAAAAAAAGAAUGGGCAUUUAGAGGGGAAGGAAGGAAGAUUACACAGCCACUACAAUAUCUACACAUAGAUGAUACACCCAACCCUCUGGCAACAUGAAUAUCAACCUCACCCUAACAUUCAACAUACCUAACUAAAUAAGGGAAAUAACCGCAAUGUCAGCCAUUAGACUCACAC